rnacentral:rRNA from 1 species
UACAGAGGUCUCGAGCGUUGUUCGGAUUCAUUGGGCGUAAAGGGUGCGUAGGUGGCACUGUAAGUCGGGUGUGAAAUCCUGAGGCUUAACCUCGGAACUGCAUUCGAUACUGCGGUGCUUUGAGGACUGGAGAGGAGACUGGAAUUCAUGGUGUAGCAGUGAAAUGCGUAGAGAUCAUGAGGAAGACCAGUGGCGAAGGCGGGUCUCUGGACAGUUCCUGACACUGAGGCACGAAGGCCAGGGGAGCAAACGGG